rnacentral:tRNA from 1 species
GCCCUCGUAAUUGAAUGGAUACAAUACUCCCCUCCGAAGGGAGAAGUACAGGUUCGAUUCCUGUCGAGGGCA